GGUACUGGAGGGGCAGGAGCCGUGGGAAUGAGAAGGGGCGGAGCGUUGUCCGGAUUAAGUGGGCGGAAAGAGGGCGUAGGCGGCCGGGUAGGUCCGUUGUGAAAACUCGGGGCUCAACCUGGGGAGGCCGAUGGAGACCGGGAGGCUAGAGUCCGGGAGAGGAGGGUGGAAUUCCUGGUGUAGCGGUGAAAUGCGUAGAUAUCAGGAAGAACACCGAUGGCGAAGGCGGCUAUCUAGUACAGUACUGACGCUGAGGCGCGAAAGCGUGGGGAGCGAACAGGAUUAGAUACCCUGGUAGUC
rnacentral:rRNA from 1 species